rnacentral:rRNA from 1 species
CCGCGUGAGUGAAGAAGGCCUUCGGGUUGUAAAGCUCUUUUGUCAGGGAAGAAACGGCAGAGGCUAAUAUCCUUUGCUAAUGACGGUACCUGAAGAAUAAGCACCGGCUAACUACGUGCCAGCAGCCGCGGUAAUACGUAGGGUGCAAGCGUUAAUCGGAAUUACUGGGCGUAAAGCGUGCGCAGGCGGUUUUGUAAGUCUGACGUGAAAUCCCCGGGCUCAACCUGGGAAUGCGUUGGAGACUGCAGGCUAGAAUCUGGCAGAGGGGGGUAAAUUCACGUGUAGCAGUGAAUGCGAAAGAUGGGAGGAACCCGAGGCGAGG